CUACGGGGCGCUCCAGUGAGGAAUAUUGCACAAUGGGGGGAACCCUGAUGCAGCAACGCCGCGUGGAGGAUGACGCAUUUCGGUGUGUAAACUCCUUUUAUAUGUCAAGAAAAUGACGGUAGCAUAUGAAUAAGCACCGGCUAACUCCGUGCCAGCAGCCGCGGUAAUACGGAGGGUGCAAGCGUUACUCGGAAGCACUGGGCGUAAAGGACGCGUAGGCGGGUUGGCAAGUCAGGUGUGAAAUCCUACAGCUUAACUGUAGAACUGCACUUGAAACUUCUAAUCUAGAGUAUGGGAGGGGGAGAUGGAAUUAGUGGUGUAGGGGUAAAAUCCGUAGAUAUCACUAGGAAUACCUAAAGCGAAGGCGAUCUCCUGGAACAUUACUGACGCUAAGGCGUGAAAGCGUGGGGAGCAAACAGGAUUAGAUACCCGUGUAGUC
rnacentral:rRNA from 1 species